rnacentral:rRNA from 1 species
AGGGCAAGUCUGGUGCCAGCAGCCGCGGUAAUUCCAGCUCCAAUAGCGUAUAUAAAGUUGUUGCAGUUAAAAAGCUCGUAGUUGAAUUUCGGGAUCAAUCUAUCGGUCGUGCAAUAGUACGUACUGAUUUUAUUGAUUCCUCCCUUCUGAUGAACUAUGAUGUCAUUAAUUUGGUGUCAUAGGGAAUCAGGACUGUUACUUUGAAAAAAUUAGAGUGUUUAAAGCAGGCUCACGCUUGAAUACAUUAGCAUGGAAUAACGAAAUAGGACGUUUGAUUCUAUUUUGUUGGUUUCUAGGAUCGACGUAAUGAUUAAUAGGGAUAGUUGGGGGUAUUAGUAUUCAAUUGUCAGAGGUGAAAUUCUUGGAUUUAUUGAAGACUAACUACUGCGAAAGCAUUUGCCAAGGAUGUUUUCAUUAAUCAAGAACGAAAGUUAGGGGAUCGAAGACGAUCAGAUACCGUCGUAGUCCUAACCAUAAACUAUGCCGACUAGGGAUCGGAUGAUGUUAAUUUUUUAAUGACUCAUUCGGCGCCUUACGGGAA